CUAGCAUGGAGAUGGGUGCUUAAGAAAAUGUUAACAAAAUUUUAUUUCACGCUGUGACAUUCAUUUUCGACUUUUUUUAACCUGCCAAAAACUUCCCGCAACUAAUCGUGACCCAGUAACAAUAAUUUGUUAAAAAUAAAGUUGUAAGUGGCUGUUUUAUUUAAUUAUUUAGUUUCUUAACGGGCUGAGAAUUGUCAAAAUCACAAAUUAACAACUGCAGAUGAAUAAAAUAAGUGGCAUGAGGACAAUUAAAUAUUUUCUAAUUUUAAAUAAUAACGUGUCAAGACAAUUCACCCAGUUCUUGUGUAGCAAUGUUGUAAAAUCCGUAAAUUCUUUUAACAUACUAAUCUUUAAAAAUCUGCAAAUAUUUUCAAAAAAAAUUAGUUCACAAAUUAUGUAAGUUUGUGUACAUAUUCAGUUCAUUAGCGUGUUUUUAUUUGUAAAAAUUUAUAAAAGUGUUUUUUUAAUAAUGUUUAUCAGAAGUUAUCAUAGCCUGGACUGGAUGAAUUUAAAAAUAUUAAAUGGAUUAAAUUAAAAAUAUUUCUACCUAUGAGAAUUAUAUGAAUACAGAUUAGAGUGAUUAAUGAUGGUCCAGCGUUGUCAUUCUGACAUUCAUGCAUUUGAGCAUGACGCACUUGUUCUACAUAAUUCACGUUUGUCCUGUCCUUCUUAUCUUUUGCUAGUUAAUACAUACAUACAUUACAUAAUGUGUAUAUAUGUAUUAUGUAAAGAAAGAUAGCCUCAUGUAGAUAUGGUUUUAUUGUCCACUACAAAUAUUUACCACUUGCAGUCAUUUUGCACCACAAGUUUUUCAUUACCAUGCAACAUUACUGAAUGGUACUGCCGUUAUUACCGUGCUGAUACAGUAACAUAUGCCUGUAAGUAUUCCGGUCAGUAAUGAUUUAGAUAUUGGCAGGGUUCUAAUAGUGUACAAGUUUUUUCAGUGCUACAAUCUUCAAAGUUAAUAUAUGUGUAAGUCUGUUCAGAAAAAAGAAAAAAGGUGCUCCGAAAAUAUAAAACUGAAAAAAUGGCUUCUUCCUGGUACAGUUACUGGAGACGGACUUUUUUGGGAUUGUUGGGUUGGACAAUUUUGUUUCCGGUGUUAAGUUUUAUUUUAAUUCCUUCCACUAUUCUCUGGCUACUUCAUGACAUUUCGGCCAAGCUUUUCCGACCUGAUUUGAUCCCUUUAAGAGUGCAGGACGGGAACGUCACUUCAGCCCCGAGUGAAGACCAUGUCUUAAUGAAUUGCUGUCAGGUGUGGAGAUUAAGGGGUCACUUGUCCCUGAAAAAGUUCAGAGAACAUUUUCAUACCUGUUUCCUUAAUGAUGAGGAAACAAGUAGAGAAAAAUAUGCUAAUUUCUGGUGCAGAUUUGUCAGGUGGGGACUCUACUGCUAUAAGGUAAAACUGCCCCUCUCCUCCAAACAACUGAUCACUUCACAAAUAAAAUUCCACCCGGGAUCACAGCUUGACUCCGAGGCUGUCGUGGAACGCUUUAUCGGAACAUGGAUGUCCAAAUCGACCUACAGAUCGGGUCCUUUGUGGGAGAUUCUUAUUGCACAUCGCCCCGACGAGACGAUCCUCCUAUUCAAGAUAGACCACGGUCUCUGCGAUGGCUAUACGUUUAUCCAUCUCGUCGAAAAACUUAGCGGGGUGGCACAACCCUAUCUCGUUUCUGAUAAGAUGACCCCAUUUCUGACCAGGCUAAACUAUAUUGUUCAAUUGCCGCUCACUUUGAGAGAACUUGUCACGGGAUGGAGGCGCGGUGGUGGGGCUAUUCGAUACCGGACACGUGCGAAUAACGCGGUAACGGCGGUGGGGGAAGCGUGGAUGAUUUCUAUGGUGACGCUGGAUCUGAUGAAAGUGAAGGAAAUCCGGAGAAAGUUGGGGUAUCGGUUUUCCACCGUUUGUGCAGCGUUACUUGUGGGGGCGUGGGCUAGGUGGGUAAAGGACGAGGGGGAAUGUGAGACAGAUUUUUUAAUGGGGGAGGAGGGGUGCCACUGUCUUAGCCCUGUUGGGUGGCCGGGUCAUCCAAUCAUGACAGGUGGGGGGAUGGGAAAUCAUUUCUCCGCACUAGUCCCAACGUACCCGUACGACUUUUCCGAUUCGAUAAAUCGGAUGCUUUCCGGUGAACGGACGUUCCAACGCUGGGAGGACACUGGUCUUCUUUGGAUCCUCAUGAAAAUUGUGUUCCCGAUCGUGCACCUGUUCCCGCAAGAUUUCUACUCGGCCAUUCUUGAUUCCGGAGUCAAAUCCAAUAUUCACUUUAUGUCAUCACCGCUACUCUGUUCGGACGAGAAGCACUUCAUUUUAGGGCAUGAAGCGAAACAUCUUUUCCUUCCGGUCCAGGUGCCUCAGUAUUUGAGAUCCAUUCACCUGUACCUUAUUCCGACCACUUUUUCGAGACAAUUGGACGUUUCCGUGAAUGCGACCAAGAGAAUGUUCCCGACUUAUGAAAAACUUGAAAAGUUUACAAAAGUGUAUUUACCCUUAGAAUUGAAUCAUGUUUGGAACAAAGUUAUGAACCUUUCUUUAAAUAAGAAAUAAAUAGUUCAAAUCUAUCGAAGAUGUCUUACACAUUUAUUUAGCCAAGAUUAUAAAUCGAUUGGAUUACUAAUUUUAGAGUAAUUAUGAAAUUAUUUCAGCACGACAAACAUUUAAUCGCGUGAAUAGUAAAUUCUGAACCCAUAAAAUUUUAUAUUUUCUUCGAUAGAAGUUAAAAUUUCGUAACGUUAGCAAUGCUUCUCUGAGAAUUAAAUAAAGCAUGUUUAAUUUGUUUACGUUGUUUGUUUCAGUUAUGAGAACACAUUGUGUAACAAUCCAUAAUUAAUUGCAAGUCGUUGUUAAUUCUGCAAAGUACGCACUUAUGUACAUAAAUGUACCAUUAUUUUUUUGCAAACCUUAUCAUCUUAUAUGCAUGUACAUCAUCACGCUGGUUAUUUCCUUUGUUCAUGAAAUUUCACAAUAUGUUUUCCCCUGUAUGUAUGUAUGGGACUGGACAUUUUUCUACGAACCACGCAUAAAUCGUAUGAUCGAGGUUCGAAGAAAAUGGUGAAAAUCAUUCGAACAAAUGUACAUAAGGUUGGUGUAUUCGUAAAAGAUCAAGACAGCAAAAUUAUGAAUUAUAUACAUAUGUAAUGAAAAAGAUAUUGGGUUCGGGCAUGUGCUGAAUUUUCGGAUAAUUGUGACCCUUUUCUAUGUAAUUGGUGUGACAAAAAAGUAUUCCUUCCAUGAUUGACACAUUUGGAAUAAACAUCUUCGUAAGCACACGUAGAAACACUGACGCAUUUUAAAUAUGAACGUCUCUGCGUUUUUAUGUACCCCGUGGUACCUAAACUGACAAAUGUUUUACCCGUUUCUAACCAAAUUUCACGUGUAAAAAGGAAUUAAAAAAUCUAAACGUCUACAUAUAUAACAAGUAAUAAACAGGGUUUAAGAUAAGUUACAUAGGGUAUUUAUCUUAAUAUUCUUAAUAUAUGAGAACAUUUUAUUAAUUUGGCAUUUUAUCCCACGGUUUAGGCCACAUUUUCCUGAACUGUACAUAAUCAGUAAGAAUGUUUAAAUGUAUAUAUGUAUCUACAGACGUCUUAUUAUGUGUAGUUCUCUUAUCUUUAUGACAUCUGUUCCUUCAUGUUACCAGGUUUGUACAUGUUUAUGUACCUAAUUACUUGGUCAUUCCACGCUUACACAAUAAAAAAAAUUCCAGUAUGACUUGGCUGAAGUAAUUCCACAUACAAAAUAAACCCACGCCAACACUCACUGCUUCAAUUGCUUUAAAUAUUUGCAAUGAUGCGUACAAUUUAAUUUUUUCUGUAAGGAAAAUAAAUCAUUGAAAAUCAGGAAAGCAUACAUUUUGAAAAUAAUUACAACAUGUUGGGAACAUUGACCACAUUUGUGUCGAAAAUGGUCACUACUACGAUUCCCGUCGCCACGGUGAAGAAUGGGGAAUCAUUUAUACCGGAGGAUGAGACCUCUUUCCGGAAAGUGUUCCCGAAACUGAGACAAGACUUGGUCGAGGUGUGCGAAAAUUGUGGAUUUAUCGAGUCGACGAAGUGGUUUGGCAAGGUCUUAGAUUACAACGUUCCACACGGAAAAGUACAAAGGGGACUUUUGGUCGUGAAUACGUUCAAGGCAUUGACCAACAAUCCUACUUCGGAACAAAUGAAUUCUGCCCGGAUUUUGGGAUGGUGUGGUGAGUUGCUUCAAACCUCCUCCCUGAUAGCGGACGACAUGAUGGAUUCCUCCCCCCUGAGGAGGGGACGCCCAUCCUGGUUCACUGUGGACGGGGUUGGCAUGAACGCUAUAAAUGACGCCUUCUACCUGGAAUCUUGUGCUUAUCACCUGCUCAAAAAAUAUUUUGGGGAGACCGAAUUUUACACAAAGUUUGUCGACGCGUUCCAUGACAUCACCUUGAAAACGAUUAUCGGGCAAAAUCUUGAUGUUCUGGCAUGUCAGGAAAUUUCGGAGGAAAGAUGCAAGAUGGCUAAUUUUUUCAAAAUUGCCGAAUACAAAACGGGUUAUUACACAUUCGUGUUGCCAAUUCGACUUGGAGCGAUACUCGCAGGUCUGCAGGAUGGAAAACUUUUAAAUCAUCUUGAAAGUGUAGGGCUUCAGUUGGGCGAAAUUUUCCAGGCGCAGGACGAUUUUUUGGACGUGUAUUGCACCAUUACGCAAACGGGAAAGAGCGGAACCGACAUUGCGGAGGGGAAAUGCACCUGGCUAAUUUGCAAAGCGAUGGAAAUUGCAAAUCCCGAACAGCGAGAGAUUCUUAUGGCCACUUACGGAAAAAAGGACGAGGAAAGUGUGCAAGUUGUGAGAACGAUAUUUGACGAGAUAAACCUGCCGUACCACUUCCGCCACUAUCAUGAAGAACUGAUGGACAAAAUUGGGACACAAAUUGCUGCCAUUUCUGGAGAUCAUGUCCAACUCAAAGCUAUGCUGAAUACUUUGGUGAAAAAGAUGGAAAUCGCGAAAUUCUUAAUUUUAGUACACGUUUAGUAAGUUAGGUGUAUAAAUUUACAUGAUUUGCGUAAAAUCGCCAGCAUUCAAAAUUUGCGAAGAAUUUCCUGCGUAAAUUGAUACACAGGUAUAAAAACCAAGGACGAGUUUGUUAAUUUUCGACAGGAAUUGUGCGACAUUUACAUACGUCUGUAUCGUUUCGGAUUAUAAAUUAUAAUCCACUGUGUGAAUUGCCUCACUAUACACGUUUAUAAUUAUGUAUGUGUGUGCACCGAGAUUAGAGCCGUCUGUCAAAGUGACGCAGGUACCAUCAAGUCCUGUGGGUCAUCCCUGCUUCCCAAUCAGAUCCGAC